rnacentral:rRNA from 1 species
CAGCCGUAAACUAUGCGCGUUAGGUGUAUCGGUGACCACGAGUUACCGAGGUGCCGAAGGGAAACCGUGAAACCGUGCCGCCUGGGAAGUACGGUCGCAAGGCUGAAACUUAAAGGAACUUGGCGGGGGAGCACCACAACAGGUGGAGCCUGCGGUUUAAUUGGACUCAACGCCGGGAAGCUCACCGGAUAGGACAGCAGAAUGAUUGCCGGGCUGAAGACCCUGCAUGACUAGCUGAGAGGUGGUGCAUGGCGUCAGU